GUUGCAAAACACGAAAGCGUCACGCUAAAUAGGCCAGCAGUUCCGAAACAUUUGCUCUCUAAUCUGCUGUAAAUCCAGCUUUUCAACCCGAAGAUUUAAAGUAGAACCGAACCCAUGUUUAACAAUAAGGCACAAUCUCCAUGCUUUCUCUCCCAUCACACCAAGCAUGUGCAAGGGACGCAAGGAACAGACUCCAGGCUUUUUGUCUGCUGAGGAAUGUGUGAUCUGAGCUACCAAUGGCUAGCUGCAAGCAG